GGGAGUCUUGUCCUAACAGGGCAGGUCAUAUUGUCUCGUUUUUACUUUUAAUGGAGGAAUAAAUUUUAUAAUUGAGAGCCGUGCUAAACUCUCUACCAGUUCCUAGGUCAAUUUUUCCCCAGGAAAUAAUGGAUGUGACAUGACUUUGGAAGACAAUUUACAGUGUGAGAAGCAUGGACUCCUUCUGAGUGGUGAAGGCUAUCCAUUGCUGCAUUGAAAGGAACCUGGACAAGUGGCUGGAAGCUGGUCUGACUUCUCUGCCGGACGUUGCUUCCUCUCCUUUGCUGCUGGGCAGUCACGGACGAAGGCUUCUUACCCUGACUGAGCUGUCCUCAGCCAUUGCCAUGUGCCAGCCAUCACCUGUCCUCGCUUGAGUUAGGAACAGGUGUAGCUCCCUUGGUUCUUCUCAUUGGGCCUAUGAGAGGAUUAGUUGGGGCUGGGGACUCUUGAUUUGUUGUACAGUGGAGU
rnacentral:lncRNA from 1 species